rnacentral:rRNA from 1 species
UACGUAGGUGGCAAGCGUUGUCCGGAAUUAUUGGGCGUAAAGCGCGCGCAGGCGGUCCUUUAAGUCUGAUGUGAAAGCCCACGGCUCAACCGUGGAGGGUCAUUGGAAACUGGGGGACUUGAGUACAGAAGAGGAAAGCGGAAUUCCACGUGUAGCGGUGAAAUGCGUAGAGAUGUGGAGGAACACCAGUGGCGAAGGCGGCUUUCUGGUCCGACACCGACGUUCAGGCACGAAAGCGUGGGGAGCAAACAGG